GUUUUAUUCUGCCGUCAGACAAUUAGCUAGAUGGCCGCAUUAUGGUCCGUGUUUGAUGAAAUCGAGCCCAGUGAUAUCGCAAAAUCAUCUGGUGAUGAAGAAACAUCGUUGACUGCUUAUAGGAUUUCGGAGGACGAUCUCAUCUCAGAUAUAUGGCAGGUAACAAAACCGAGUCAUGCCAUUAUAUGUGAACGAGGAGAGCUUUGGUGUGGAGACCACAAACUCUUCUGUUUUAAGAGACGAACAUGUAGAUUCAACUUUUUUUACUUCUUAAUGGUGUUCUGGUCUUGAUAGUAAGGUCUUCUUUUCCUUUGCCAAUGGCUACGGCUUGUACAAGAAGAUCGAGGCCCAUCAUAUCCCUUAAAGUGAACACAUACUUCUCAAACAAAAGUUUUCCCUCCUCAAACAUUUUAAUUACCUGCAAGAAACCAUACAUUAAUAACCCAUUGUUCUAGGUAUAGAAUAGUCAAUAGUAAACAAAGUACCUGAGUCAAACUAGCUUUACACUCAUCGGUCACAUUAGAAAGCAAUCGAGACAAAAGCCCGUGCAGCCUCCACCCUCUGAAAAUCUUUUUUUCCAGGAAGAGACUUUUUAAUUCUUUUUUUUUUUUAAUUCUAUAAAACUUCCCAUAGUAAUACGAUAUAACAUUUGGCAUAUCUUUAUCCCCCAUGAACUUGUUCACAACGCGAAGAUUCUUGCCGAAUAUAUAUAUAAACCAAGAAUAAAACUAUCAUGUUCAAUCGCGCUCCAACAUUCUUCACUUGAUGAACAAGGAACUGAAACCAAACCGUUGUUUGUUUCACAACCUACAUUACAAAGCUCACCCUUUCUCCUCAUUUCCCACCAAACCCUUCACCUUUCUCACGGAUUCUCCCCCAAAUCGGUUCAUUCUCAUCAGUUUCACCAAAUUCUCCUCUAAAUCGAUAAAUCCGCCCACCCACCACGUCUUCGAUCAAGACGAAGUCACUUCGAGUUGAAAUGAAGUCACGGAUCAAGACGACGGACACGAAGACAAUGGCGGUGAUGAUAACAUGAUGUAGUUUUACAUGUUUUAUGCAAUGUUAUGAUGUUAAUAUGUGAAUUAAAUGAAUAACUUUUAAGUAGUUUUAGGAUGUUUAUAUAAUUAUUAUGUUUAUGUAGUUUGUUGUGAGUGGCGAAGAAAAACUGGAAAUUGGCAGGCUUUGUGUAUCGUUGAAAACUGGAAAUUAUUGUAAAUGCAAAAAAAAAAAAGU